rnacentral:piRNA from 1 species
UUGUAAUUGCCUCUAAUCUGGA